GCAGCAGCAACGCCCAGUUAAGUGUUGGGGCAAUGGGCAGCGGUGUGCCUUGCCCCGGGAUGUACCCGACGUUUCACCGCCUUAUUAAUGCUUUAUGGUGAUUUUACGGCCGUCAUGUUGAAGCGCUUCUCGGGUUGGUAACUUUAUAUACCAGUAUUAUACAGGUGAUUAAUGCCGCCAUAAGGGGAGAGAAAUAUCCCGUAACACCUGAGACGAAUAUUGAAAAUUUGUUAUGAAUUAUGAGUCUGAUGUUGACCACUGGUGUAUUAAAUAUAACUCACUUAAAUAAGAGAUACAAAGAUUAGUUGUGAAAUUAGACAGACGGACGCUAUUGGGAGAUAUUAAUUGGGGAGUUUAAGUGUUGUGAAAUUAGAUAGAAGGAUGUUGGUGAGAUGUAUUAAUUAAAGAGUAUAAGUGUUGAGGGAGGGAGGCCAGAGCGACCAGCACCCGGCCAGACUCACACGCACACGCGAGAUGUGCAUUCAACACUACCGCCCGGGGACACACACUGCCACUCCCUCGUACCUCUUUUCUCGCCACAUACCUCAGCCACACUGCAGCUGACUGUCACUAUCUGCACCGCACAGCUUCUUAAUAUCCCUUCGCUUCCUCUAUCUCUCAAAGAAAUCGGAUGAGAGAGACAGGAAGGUAAAAUAAGGAAGGAAAUGAUUGUGUUAUCGGGUGGAUGCGAGGAGAGUAGCAGCAUGUGGUGCGGGGCUACAGUGAGUGGCCCAGCACACCAGUCGGGGGAUUGGCCGCGGCCACACCACCACUAUACUUCCCUUACGGCACGCCACUCACCACCUCCACCUUCAUUACUGUCCCCACCACCGCUGCCUCCAAUAACUCCUGCACAUUUGCCGGUAUAGAGCAACAACAUGAAAAAGGGUAAAAAAAAAGUAAAAAAAAAAAAAAUGAAUUCGUCUUCUCGUUGGAACUCGCCUCAGAAGGUGGUAUUAGCACCUGCGAAUCACCAAGAAAAAUACCUGGACAUCUUCCUCUGAGAAGCUUAUGACAGGGAGCGCCACAGUCAUGACAGCAGGGAAUUAAAGUGUUAUCAAGAGUACUGAAGUUUGUAUCGCCUAUGGUAUACAGUACAGUCAACUACUGAAGUCUUACUGUCUGAACCACGAGCCCCGAGAGAUUCAGACUCGUAAACCCGAACAAGUGAGGUGAGCGAUGAUGACUAUAGGUCCUGUCCUUAACACCUGAGACUAACGGAAGAACAGAAUGCCUGGCGAUAACAGUAACAGCACUCGGUUAACGGAGAGGACAACAGGAAGACAGCAGUAACAGCAAAAUUAUCACUAUGGUCGACGAAGAUGCAGCAAUAACCGCAUUAAAGUCAGUGUGAUUGAUAAAAACACAACAGAAAUAACAGUAAAGCCGAUGUGAUUGACAGAGAGAGCUAAAACAACAAUAAUGUCACUAUGAACUAAGAAAGACGCGGCAAUAACAACAACUAGAACAGAAUGCGUAAGUUAUUGAAACAGCAAAAGACGCACAGCAGUGAUUACCAGACGCUACGGAAUCUAUCAAUAAAAGCAAUAACAUCACCGUGAUUGUCCAUCUGGAGGUACAAGUAGUGUCAGUGUGAUUGUCUUCUUCUCCAGACACACCUUAAUAAGUAAAGCACACACACACACAUACACACACAGCUUAUGUAGUGAGGGAGAGGCUUAGCAACUCAGGUACAACGGCCAUCCAAACAGUGUGAAGGACUUUGUUGGCGCCAAUAUCAAGUCACAAGAAUGUUUACAAGACCAGCUCCCACAGUACCAGCUCUAGAGU